rnacentral:ncRNA from 1 species
CCUGAUGCAGCGACGCCGCGUGAGGGAGUGACGGCCUUCGGGUUGUAAACCACUUUCAGCAGGGAAGAAGCGAAAGUGACGGUACCUGCAGAAGAAGCGCCGGCUAACUACGUGCCAGCAGCCGCGGUAAUACGUAGGGCGCGAGCGUUGUCCGGAAUUAUUGGGCGUAAAGAGCUCGUAGGCGGCUUGUCACGUCGGUUGUGAA